rnacentral:sRNA from 1 species
CACACGCGAACUUUCGCGUCAGACGGAUUGAAAGCCCCGUCCGGCGCUCCGGUGGAUCGCUCUCUAACCCUCAGGGUCGGUGAAGCGUUCUUGCUCUGGGUUCGCGGAGGAUUAACCGGAAAAGGAAGAGACAU